AACACAUGCAAGUCGAGCGAUGAAACUUUAACAGAACCCUUCGGGGCGAAGAUAAGUGGAUUAGCGGCGGACGGGUGAGUAACACGUGAGUAACCUGCCUUAGACAUUGGGAUAGCCUCGGGAAACCGGGAUUAAUACCAAAUAAAAUUAUAAUGACACAUGUCAUAACGAUCAAAACUCCGGUGGUCUAAGAUGGACUCGCGUCCCAUUAGCUAGUUGGUAGAGUAAAAGCCUACCAAGGCGACGAUGGGUAGCCGGCCUGAGAGGGUGAACGGCCACAUUGGAACUGAGAAACGGUCCAAACUCCUACGGGAGGCAGCAGUGGGGAAUAUUGCACAAUGGAGGGAACUCUGAUGCAGCGACGCCGCGUGAACGAAGAAGGCUUUCGAGUCGUAAAGUUCUUUUAUAUGGGAAGAUAAUGACGGUACCAUAAGAAAAAGCCCCGGCUAACUACGUGCCAGCAGCCGCGGUAAUACGUAGGGGGCUAGCGUUGUCCGGAAUCACUGGGCGUAAAGGGUUCGCAGGCGGAAAUGCAAGUCAGAUGUAAAAGGCAGUAGCUUAACUACUGUAAGCAUUUGAAACUGCAUAUCUUGAGAAGAGUAGAGGUAAGUGGAAUUUUUAGUGUAGCGGUGAAAUGCGUAGAUAUUAAAAAGAAUACCGGUGGCGAAGGCGACUUACUGGGCUCAUUCUGACGCUGAGGAACGAAAGCGUGGGUAGCA
rnacentral:rRNA from 2 species